rnacentral:lncRNA from 1 species
GGCAGUCUUCCAGUGCUCAAAUCACUGCUUCCACCUUGGCAGACGCAGAUUUAGAGAAUUUCUGAGAUGUCCUAGCACAGAGAGAAGAAGACCCAAAAGUCGCAGCUGGAAAGAAGAUCCUAGAGGGACAUCACCCCUGAAGGACAGUGAUCUCUGCUUUUCACCAGCUGUCAGCACUGCUGAUCCAUGUGGGCUAGGCAGGGCAAUGCUGCCUUCUUCAUGUAAAUCAGAAGAGCAAGGAAAGCUAAUUGCCAGGUGCAGCUCUUGGUGAGAUG